AUUGCUCGGGACUGUGCUCUCGGUUUUUGGGAAGGAGUGUACGUGGAUAGGCGGAGGGGUUAUGGAGGGGGCAGCGAAGCACCAAGGACAGGAUGCUGAUGGGAGUGUGGGCGGUCCAACUGCUGGGCUGCAUUUCAGACGUGGCUGGUCACUGUUUAGACAUAAACAAAGUGACUUCAGCUGUUUUACACAUCAAAGCAGAUUAAUGAGGAAGGGUGCCAUGUUACAUGAGAACAUCAAGAUUAUGAAUAAACGUACUUUUCGAUCACAUCUCCUCAGCUACUAGAUCGGACCGCCUCUCUACCUCGGUUUGGUGGGGAGUCUCCUGUUGCUUGGCUGCACGGUUCACUGCGCAACUGCAUGCAGUUAUCCGCCCACAAAGGAUGAAGAACACAUCAGCAAAAAGAAGGAUUUCUUUUUACAAGAUGGCCGCCGUUGUCGCGUAACACCGAAACCGUCCGUGUUCGACUUACUCCAGAGCCAAAACUACGAACUCGAGAAUUCUACGGCCUCCAUCUGAAUCAUGAUACUGUCCCCACAGCAUGAUGCUGCCACUCCCAUGUUUAACUUUUGAGGAUGGAUUGACAAAGGUUUUGAUUAAUAUACAAGCAAAUUUUAAUUUUGAGUGGGGGGAGAACUAAUUAAAAACUAGACAGAGUUUUCAUACAAAAAAUUUAGUUCAAAUAUAUCAAUUAAUUGAUAUCAAUUACUGCUGUAUAACCAGUUUUAUUGAGUUAUGCAACAGUAAAGUGAUCUAAAGCACUCAAAUGAGAGCAAAGAUUGACGAGUGGCCUAGUCAAAUCCCAUGAGAU